AAGUGUUCAAAGCAGGCAUUUGUCGUGAAUACAUUAGCAUGGAAUAAUUGAAUAGGACUUGGUCUUAUUUUGUUGGUUUGUUAUGGCCGAGUAAUGAUUAAAAGGGACAGUUGGGGGCAUUUGUAUUCCAGAGCUAGAGGUGAAAUUCUUAGAUUUCUGGAAGACAAACCGCUGCGAAAGCGUCUGCCAAGGAUGUUUUCAUUGAUCAAGAACGAAAGUAAGGGGAUCGAAGACGAUCAGAUACCGUCGUAGUCUUUACUAUAAACGAUGAGGACUGGGGAUCGGGCGAGGAAUUGCGAUGACCCGCCCGGCACCCUCCGGGAAACCAAAGUGUUUGCUUUCUGGGGGGAGUAUGGUCGCAAGGUUGAAACUUAAAGGAAUUGACGGAAGGGCAUCACCGGGUGUGGAGCCUGCGGCUUAAUUUGACUCAACACGGGAAAACUUACCAGGUCAGGACAUAGUGAGGAUUGACAGAUUGAGAGCUCUUUCUUGAUUCUAUGGUUGGUGGUGCAUGGCCGUUYUUAGUUGGUGGAGUGAUUUGUCUGGUUAAUUCCGUUAACGAGCGAGACCUGGGCGUGCUAAAUAGGAGCUACUACCGUUUUUGGUAGUACGUUACUUCUUCUUAGACGGACUGCGGGCGUCUAGUCCGCGGAAGCUCCAGGCAAUAACAGGUCUGAGAUGCCCUUAGAUGUUCUGGGCCGCACGCGUGCUACACUGAGUGGAUCAGCGGGUCAGGUUGCACGAAAGUGUUUCCUAAUCUUGAAAUCCGCUCGUGAUGGGGAUUGAGGGUUGCAAUUUUCCCUCAUGAACGAGGAAUACCUUGUAAGCGUGGGUCAUCAUCCCGCGCUGAAUACGUCCCUGCCCUUUGUACACACCGCCCGUCGCUCCUACCGAUUGAGUGGUCCGGUGAGGCUUUGGGAUUGCAGCGGGAAGAGCGUUUCGCUCGUUCUGCCGCGAGAACUCAGUCGAACCUUAUCAUUUAGAGGAA
rnacentral:rRNA from 2 species